rnacentral:rRNA from 1 species
CCUGGCUCAGGAUGAACGCUAGCGGUAGGCUUAACACAUGCAAGUCGAGGGGCAGCAUCAGUGCUUGCACUGGAUGGCGACCGGCGCACGGGUGAGUAACGCGUAUGCAACCUGCCUGUACCUGGAGGAUAGCCCUUGGAAACGAGGAUUAACACUGCGUAACAUAUAUUUACCGCAUGGUAUAUAUAUCAAAACCACGGUGGGUACAGAUGGGCAUGCGUGCCAUUAGCUAGAUGGUAAGGUAACGGCUUACCAUGGCUUCGAUGGCUAGGGGUUCUGCAAGGAAGGCCCCCCACACUGGUACUGAGACACGGACCAGACUCCUACGGGAGGCAGCAGUGAGGAAUAUUGGUCAAUGGGGGAAACCCUGAACCAGCCAAGCCGCGUGAAGGAAGACUGUCCUAUGGAUUGUAAACUUCUUUUUUGGCAGAAUAAAUUACCGUACUCGUACGGUAUUGCACGUAUGCCAAGAAUAAGCAUCGGCUAACUCCGUGCCAGCAGCCGCGGUAAUACGGAGGAUGCAGGCGUUAUCCGGAUUUAUUAGGUUUAAAGGGUGUUCAGGCUGCCUGGUAAGUCAGUGGUGAAAGUCGGCAGCUCAACUGCCGAAUUGCCUUUGAAACUGUCAGGCUCGAGUAUGGAUGCGGCAGGCGGAAUGUGUAGUGUAGCGGUGAAAUGCAUAGAUAUUACACAGAACCCCGAUUGCGAAGGCAGCUUGCCAAACCAUUACUGACGCUGAAGCACGAAAGCGUGGGUAGCGAACAGGAUUAGAUACCCUGGUAGUCCACGCCGUAAACUUUGCUCACUCGCUGUAGGCGAUACACAGUCAGC